GCGAGUGGCGAACGGGUGAGUAAUAUAUCGGAACGUGCCCAGUCGUGGGGGAUAACGCAGUGAAAGCUGUGCUAAUACCGCAUACGAUCUCUGGAUGAAAGCGGGGGACUCGGCAACGAGCCUCGCGCGAUUGGAGCGGCCGAUAUCAGAUUAGCUAGUUGGUGGGGUAAAAGCCCACCAAGGCGACGAUCUGUAGCUGGUCUGAGAGGACGACCAGCCACACUGGGACUGAGACACGGUCCAGACUCCUACGGGAGGCAGCAGUGGGGAAUUUUGGACAAUGGGCGCAAGCCUGAUCCAGCAAUGCCGCGUGCAGGAUGAAGGCCUUCGGGUUGUAAACUGCUUUUGUACGGAACGAAAAAGUCUGCCCUAAUACGGUGGGCCCAUGACGGUACCGUAAGAAUAAGCACCGGCUAACUACGUGCCAGCAGUCGCGGUAAUACGUAGGGUGCGAGCGUUAAUCGGAAUUACUGGGCGUAAAGCGUG
rnacentral:rRNA from 1 species